rnacentral:rRNA from 1 species
GAUGAACGCUGGCGGCGUGCCUAAUACAUACAAGUCGAACGCUUUGUGGUUCAACUGAUUUGAAGAGCUUGCUCAGAUAUGACGAUGAACAUUGCAAAGAGUGGCGAACGGGUGAGUAACACGUGGGAAACCUACCUCUUAGCAGGGGAUAACAUUUGGAAACAGAUGCUAAUACCGUAUAACAAUGACAACCGCAUGGUCGUUAUUUAAAAGAUGGUUCUGCUAUCACUAAGAGAUGGUCCCGCGGUGCAUUAGCUAGUUGGUAAGGUAAUGGCUUACCAAGGCGAUGAUGCAUAGCCGAGUUGAGAGACUGAUCGGCCACAAUGGGACUGAGACACGGCCCAUACUCCUACGGGAGGCAGCAGUAGGGAAUCUUCCACAAUGGGCGAAAGCCUGAUGGAGCAACGCCGCGUGUGUGAUGAAGGGUUUCGGCUCGUAAAACACUGUUGUAAGAGAAGAAUGACAUUGAGAGUAACUGUUCAAUGUGUGACGGUAUCUUACCAGAAAGGAACGGCUAAAUACGUGCCAGCAGCCGCGGUAAUACGUAUGUUCCAAGCGUUAUCCGGAUUUAUUGGGCGUAAAGCGAGCGCAGACGGUUAUUUAAGUCUGAAGUGAAAGCCCUCAGCUCAACUGAGGAAUUGCUUUGGAAACUGGAUGACUUGAGUGCAGUAGAGGAAAGUGGAACUCCAUGUGUAGCGGUGAAAUGCGUAGAUAUAUGGAAGAACACCAGUGGCGAAGGCGGCUUUCUGGACUGUAACUGACGUUGAGGCUCGAAAGUGUGGGUAGCAAACAGGAUUAGAUACCCUGGUAGUCCACACCGUAAACGAUGAGUGCUAGGUGUUUGAGGGUUUCCGCCCUUAAGUGCCGCAGCUAACGCAUUAAGCACUCCGCCUGGGGAGUACGACCGCAAGGUUGAAACUCAAAGGAAUUGACGGGGACCCGCACAAGCGGUGGAGCAUGUGGUUUAAUUCGAAGCAACGCGAAGAACCUUACCAGGUCUUGACAUCCCUUGACAACUCCAGAGAUGGAGCGUUCCCUUCGGGGACAAGGUGACAGGUGGUGCAUGGUUGUCGUCAGCUCGUGUCGUGAGAUGUUGGGUUAAGUCCCGCAACGAGCGCAACCCUUAUUACUAGUUGCCAGCAUUCAGUUGGGCACUCUAGUGAGACUGCCGGUGACAAACCGGAGGAAGGUGGGGAUGACGUCAAAUCAUCAUGCCCCUUAUGACCUGGGCUACACACGUGCUACAAUGGCGUAUACAACGAGUUGCCAACCCGCGAGGGUGAGCUAAUCUCUUAAAGUACGUCUCAGUUCGGAUUGUAGGCUGCAACUCGCCUACAUGAAGUCGGAAUCGCUAGUAAUCGCGGAUCAGCACGCCGCGAUGAAUACGUUCCCGGGUCUUGUACACACCGCCCGUCACACCAUGAGAGUUUGUAACACCCAAAGCCGGUGGGGUAACCUUCGGGAGCCAGCCGUCUAAGGUGGGACAGAUGAUUAGGGUG